rfam:Acidobacteria bacterium 13_1_40CM_3_56_11 13_1_40cm_3_scaffold_1956, whole genome shotgun sequence.
GUCCCGUUCGUCUAGCCCGGUCUAGGACACAGCCCUUUCAAGGCUGCAGCACGGGUUCGAAUCCCGUACGGGACG